AUUGAACGCUGGCGGCAGGCCUAACACAUGCAAGUCGAACGAGUGGCGGACGGGUGAGUAAUGUAUGGGAAACUGCCUGAUGGAGGGGGAUAACUACUGGAAACGGUAGCUAAUACCGCAUACCCUCGGAUGAGCCCAUAUGGGAGUAGCUAGUAGGUUGGGUAAAGGCUCACCGAGGCGACGAUCCCUAGCUGGUCUGAGAGGAUGACCAGCCACACUGGAACGGAGACACGGUCCAGACUCCUACGGGAGGCAGCAGUGGGGAAUAUUGCACAAUGGGCGCAAGCCUGAUGCAGCCAUGCCGCGUGGAUGAAGAAGGCCUUCGGGUUGUAAAGUACUUUCAGCGGGGAGGCGUUACCCGCAGAAGAAGCACCGGCUAACUCCGUGCCAGCAGCCGCGGUAAUUC
rnacentral:rRNA from 1 species